AUUGAACGCUGGCGGCAGGCCUAACACAUGCAAGUCGAACGGUAACAGGAAGCAGCUUGCUGCUUUGCUGACGAGUGGCGGACGGGUGAGUAAUGUCUGGGAAACUGCCUGAUGGAGGGGGAUAACUACUGGAAACGGUAGCUAAUACCACAUAACGUCGCAAGACCAAAGAGGGGGACCUUCGGGCCUCUUGCCAUCGGAUGUGCCCAGAUGGGAUUAGCUAGUAGGUGGGGUAACGGCUCACCUAGGCGACGAUCCCUAGCUGGUCUGAGAGGAUGACCAGCCACACUGGAACUGAGACACGGUCCAGACUCCUACGGGAGGCAGCAGUGGGGAAUAUUGCACAAUGGGCGCAAGCCUGAUGCAGCCAUGCCGCGUGUAUGAAGAAGGCCUUCGGGUUGUAAAGUACUUUCAGCGGGGAGGAAGGGAGUAAAGUUAAUACCUUUGCUCAUUGACGUUACCCGCAGAAGAAGCACCGGCUAACUCCGUG
rnacentral:rRNA from 1 species